rnacentral:rRNA from 1 species
GCUGCGGGCUCCGGACUUUGACAAUCCCAAGUGCGAUCCCAGGUCAGGCGGGGCUACCCCCUGAUUUAGCCUAUCAUUAGC